rnacentral:rRNA from 1 species
UACGUAGGGGGCUAGCGUUGUCCGGAUUUAUUGGGCGUAAAGAGCGUGUAGGCGGCCAGAUAGGUCUGCUGUGAAAACUCGAGGCUCAACCUCGAGAUGUCGGCGGAAACCAUUUGGCUAGAGUCCGGAAGAGGAGAGUGGAAUUCCUGGUGUAGCGGUGAAAUGCGCAGAUAUCAGGAGGAACACCAAUGGCGAAGGCAGCACUCUGGGACGUGACUGACGCUGAGACGCGAAAGCGUGGGGAGCAAACAGG